rnacentral:lncRNA from 1 species
AUUGACCGGGGCUGUUGAGGCAGACUGCUGAUUCGUUUUUCUUUGUUUGAAUUACAUGUUUGAGACUCCCUGAGCCGAGACGAGACCCCAGGGACUAUGGAGAGGGCAGGUCUGGAUCCUCAAUGGGACACGCCCCCUGACAAAUCUCCUCUCUCUCCUCCUACCUCUGUCCAGGAGACCAACACUAGAGAGAGUCUCCUUUUCUCUUCAUGUCUGCUCACAUUGGAGUGACCUUGAAGAAGGCUGCUGGUGGUGUAACAAAAUGGAUCUUAUUGCUUUCAGAACUUUUAAAACUACAAUAACUAUUUUAAUUGAGGAGCAUGACAUCCAUGCAAUCAAUUUCCGUCAGGCUCAAUUUUCACACCCAAUCAGAUCCUUGGCUGGUGAGCUUGGCUUAGAGAGGACUAUGGGUAGGAAAGCGUAGCGGCUGAGUGCCUGCUAAAACCCAGCUGAGGUCAGGAAUAGAACAUGAAAUCCUUAAUGUGACACGCUGUGCUUUACUUUAAUUUCUUCUGUAUAUUUUGUUUUGACAAGCAGCCUUGAAAAUAGAAAAGUUGACUGGUGACAAGACUUAGAUCAGAG